CCUACGGGAGGCUGCAGUGAGGAAUAUUGGUCAAUGGACGCAAGUCUGAACCAGCCAUGCCGCGUGCAGGAAGACGGUUCUAUGAGUUGUAAACUGCUUUUGUACGAGGGCAAACGCAGACACGCGUACCUGUCCGAAAGUACCUUACGAAUAAGGAUCGGCUAACUCCGUGCCAGCAGCCGCGGUAAUACGGAGGAUUCAAGCGUUAUCCGGAUUUAUUGGGUUUAAAGGGUGCGUAGGCGGUCGGGUAAGUUAGCGGUGAAAUCCCGAGGCUCAACUUCGGAAUUGCCUCUGAUACUGUUCGGCUAGAGAGUAGGUGCGGUAGGCGGAAUGUAUGGUGUAGCGGUGAAAUGCUUAGAGAUCAUACAGAACACCGAUUGCGAAGGCAGCAUACCGGGCUACAUCUGACGUUGAGGCACGAAAGCGUGGGGAGCGAACAGGAUUAGAUACCCCAGUAGUC
rnacentral:rRNA from 1 species